GAGAAGUGACUGAUGGUUACCACAGCAGAGGGGUUGGGGUGAGUGGGUGAAAUAGGUGAAGGGGAUAGAGGCACAAAAUCUCAAUCAUGAUAUAAAUUACUCACAGGGAUGAAAGUACAGCAUAGAGAAUAUAGUCAAUAAUUCAGUAACAUCUCUUUCUAUGUUGAUGGACAGUAACUACACCAGUUGGGGCGAGCAUCUAAUAAUGGAGAUAACUGUUGAAUCACUAUGUUUUAUACUUGAAACCAAUUUAAAAAAUUUUUAAUUAAAAACUAAGGCCUUAUGACAGUAAAUAACUUGCCCACAGUCACACAGCUAUUAAAUGACAGAAGGACUCUGGCCCAGCCUAACUCCAAAGUCUGAGUGUAAGCACUACACCCUACUCCCUUUCACAUUCAUUCAUUCAAACUUUUAUUACCUGCCUUAGAGCGGGUCAAGCACUUUGCUAAAGCCUUGGUGUAAAGAGACAAAAAAAAAAAAAAAAGGCAGUCUCCAUCCUCAAGAAACUUACAUCUUGUACACACCAAAAAAUGUAAAAUGCUAAUUAAACCAACAAGUUCAGGACAGCAAUUCUGGUUAAGUGAAUCAUCUAGAGAAAAUCUAAGAUACUGCAUUGAAAAGGAUUUAUAAUACUCCUCAUCUGUAUAUUUGUUGGAAGCUACAUAUUUGAUCUUUGUAAUUAACCUUGUGAAGCAGAUAGGGCAUUCUCAUGCUCAUUUCAUAGAUAAGAAACAGAUAAAGGCAUGCUGUCCUAAACAGCUUAGCAAAGAUGCCACAUCCCUUCUUAGGGUGUCUGCCCCAUGCACAGAAUCUUCUGCUGUUCAAAAAAAAAUAUGUUUGUGGUCAAAUCAUGGGCUCUUGGGGCAGUUCAAAAAGAUGAACUGGGCAAAACUGAUCCCCUUUCAAAAAUUUAAAUUACAAAACAGAGAGAUGGGUCCAUUUACUAUGAGAUAUAAGAUGAUAGUGGAUAGAGGACAGAGCCUGAAAUGGUGAGAUUAGAAAGCAGGUGGGCAGAAAAGAAUUGAGGCUCAAGGAGACAGCAGACAUGUCACAUGACCAGUCUUUGAGGGAAGAAGACAGAUAAUCGUUCCUUUCCCUAUGACCCAGAUGCCUGUGAUAAACCUCAUUUUCCCUACAGACACUUAAGGUUUUUUGGAAAAGCAACUUCCAAAUAGCACGCAUACAAGAAAUGACACUUCACACUCUCAACACACAAAUUCAGACACAUAGUGAACUUGAGUAUGAAAAAAGACUCCAGCUGUUAUAACUGGCCACACAGGUUUCGUCUCCAUGGUUUCUGUUUACUUCUUGUAAAAAAAAAAAGGAUAACAUUGGCCUGCUCAUAGCAACAAACAUUAAAGUCACAAGAGUGUGUCUUCAGAAUUAUCCAGGGAUCAUCCCUUCUCCUCCCUCUGCCCUAAUCCUCUCCCAAAACCUUUAUUCAUCCCCAGGCUCCUCAAAUAAGGAGACUUCUUAUUCUCUAUCACCUCUUAUCAAAAGAAGAAAGCUAUUAAGUAUCAACACUGGCUAAAACUUUUACAACAAACCAUUUCAUCUCAGAUUUUGUGUAUCAUUUGUAUGACAUGAGGACAGAAAUCACGGAGAAGAGUGUCCCAGAGAAGACGGACAUGGCGCCUAGCCCAGCACACCUCCUUCCCCAAACCAAGUAUGGAGGUCAUGCUGUUAACCUUCCCCACUCUCCACCCCAAGCAACAGCCUGAAAGCCUCAAGUUUCUGCAGUUCCAAGCUCUCUCACAGUGACAACAGUAGGGUGACGAGCAGAGAGGCUUCUCAGGACCCCGUGGGCAGAACUGAAUCAAGCAGCAGGAGGAGAGAGAAGGCAGCCAAAGGCAGUGAGUCCUCACAGAUCCAUGUCCAUGGAGCACAGGGAACUUCCACGCCUGACAUGUUCAACCUUAGCCUGAAGGAUACAGCAUCCUUUUUCUAAUGUGUGAAUGAUGCUUAUGUAAACAACUAAUGAGUAAUUUAAAAAUAAGAGGAAAAAAACGUUCAUCUUGGUGGACCUAUUACUAAAAACUGUUUAGGCCUAAUUGCCAUGCAAUCCAGUAGCAAUCAUUUGCAUCAUUAAAUGUAUCAAUUUUCAUGAGUUCAUUUUGCUGCAACACUCUUAAAAACAUGACAAAUAUUAAGAACUUAAAACAUAAAAAGAACAAUCACAAACCUUUAUGCACAAGCCCCACUUGGAAAAGAGAGACAAGGGUGGACAGCACGGGUGGACAGUGAAGGAAGUUUAAGUGCGCCACGAAGAACCAGACAAGUUUUCAGCAGGUUGUUUUUUUUUUUUCUGGGGUGAGGUGGAGCGAGGGGGGGUUUCUUAAGAUUUAUAAAUCCUUACACUGGUAAAUACAAACUUAAUAUAAGUUACAUGAAGAUAACUUUCAACAGGCCCACAAAAAUCACAGGUCUCACAGAGGAGGGAGAUUAAAAGGCAAAUAGCACAUAACUCUAAAUAAGGGUAAGGCUGGCCCGGUUGGAACAUAGGGUGCGUCUUAACAAUACCAGUGAAAAGUAUGGAUAAGGCUUCUACUACACAGCAAAGAAAAUAAGAGGGAAAUAAGUGAAAGGGGAAAAUAUUUGAAGCUCAGUUUUGGACAUACAACUUGAGAACAUCUUUUUUGAAAGGAACAUAGAGGGAAGAAUGUGGUGGUCUUAUUCCCUACAUAAAACUAACCUGUGGUUAUUCUUAUCCCCCUUUCACUCCAGCAGUCUUACCCACCUAAAUGACUGGCAUUGCAUAAGCCAAACCUUGCAACAAUCUUCAGUUCUCAGUGGCUCACAUAUCAUAACCAUCAGGAAAUCCUAAAGGGUCUGCCUUCAAAAUAUUUUGCCACUUACCACCUCUACUUCUCAAACAACUGGAACCUUGGCCAAAGCCACCAUCGCCUUUACUUUCUGAGUAGCGUCCCAACUACUACAGUCUACAAUCAACACAACAGCCAAACGACCUUUUGAAACCAAAAUAUGGUCUAUUCCUCCCAUGUUCAAAACCCUCCCAACUCACUGGCUUUCCAUCUUACUUGGAGCAAAAGUUAAAUUCCUCAGAAGGUCCACAAAGCUAUUAGAUCUACCUGUCUACCUGGUUUUCUCCUCCUACUCUAUUCCCACUACUCCAGCCAUGCUGGACUCUUUGCUCCUCUGGGUGCUUGCUUUGGGGCUUACUGUAGGCUUAUGGAUUCUACAACCUGUUUCAAAAGCUCUUUCCCUAACCUCUUGCACCCACAAACCUGCACAGCUCACCUGCUCAGGGCUUCACUUUCUAAGCCAUGCCCUCCCAUUCCCCCAACAAAUAUUUGUUCCCCAUUGCAGCCCCAGCUCCUGGACAACUGGCUGCACACAGUAAGAGCUUAGUUAUCAUAUGUGGAAAGACUGAGUGACCAAAUGGUUUUGCAUACUACAUACGUUUAUAGAACCAAGAAAUGGGUAGAACUUGAAAAAGUCUACAACUAAAUUAAGAACAGGAGAUGGCAGUCCUCUUCCAUUUGGCACACUGAGCAGGUUGUAGCUCCUAGAGGAGGAGGAGGGAAGUCUGGAGGCAGCAAGGAGUCCAAUUGCCAAAAGAGGACCCACCCACAUUCCAUCUUGCUAUAAAAGUCAAUGUUUGCAGAGCUCAGCAUGGCCCAUCAUUGCCCCAGAGCAGGUCUGCUAUAAGCGGCUACAUUAUUUUAACUUGUAGAUUUGCUAUGUAUCAAAAGGACAUUUCCAAAUAUUAUGGUUAAUUUUCAGUUAUGCCAAUUUUAGUUAAGUAUAUGGCUCAUGCCCACAUUUCUUGACAUAUGACAAAAUUGUAUUUAUGAAAAUGCUUCUAAAAUAAAGAAGAAUAUAUGCCACAAAGCUCAAAAAUUUCUUUCCCUUUCUUUACUAAGCAUUAAGGAAAACAGUAGCCAGCUACAAAACACUUUUCUAUAGGCUUUUCGUGGAUCAUCCCACUUAAGCCUCCCAAUGAAGUGAGUACUAUUAUGAAGUUCAAUUUACAAGAACAGAGUAAAAUAACCCCUCCAAAGCCACACUGCUAGUGAGUGGGAAAGUCAGGAUGCAACCUAGGCAGGUUGGCCCCCAAGCCCAGUUUCGUGAUGACUGAGCACCUGUCGGUUCUGCUUGCCCAAUAACUAUGGCAAAUGGAGUCAAACAAAGCAAGACCUUAUGUGAUGAAUGCUAUACAUUUACUCGUCGAAAACUUUAAAAAAAAAUCUCCUAUGCAACUAGAAUUCAAAAGUCCAGUAAGUAGGAAAAUACCAUUUUUUGACAUUAGUAUUAAUCAAAUAUUAGCAAAAACUGAUACAAAACUAACAGUUUUUCUUAAAAUGGCAGGAAAGUCAAGGGAGAACAGUGAGAAGAGACAAAAUGCUUUGGGAGAUUGCUUUGCAAAAGCAAGCAUUAAGAAAACUGCUUCAAAACUAACAAGUAAAUAAAGUUUUAUAAAUACAGCUACUCAUGAAAAGCAGUUUCCUUUGGAACCAUUUGACUGUACAAGUCAGUCAGAACAACUAACAUUAGCAAAUUUCAUCAAAUCCUAAUGUUUUGAGGAGGAAAUGUGACAAAAAAAAUUGAAAACGGGAUUCUGUAAAUAUUUGAGAGGCUCUAAUCAGAAGGAAGAGGAAUUCCCUAAUCAGGCAUCUAAUGAAUGUGUCCUGAUAAAGAGGGAUAAUAGAAUGGAAUGGAGGGAAUUUUAGGCUAACAGAUUACUUACAAAAACACUAACUCCCCACUCUUGCAGCUUCCUCAAAGACCAAAACAACAAUAAACAAGGACUUAGUAAAUCAAGGCUAGAAAUCUACUUUCUAUAAAUAUCCUAAACUCACAUUCAUAGUCCUUUAUACUUUUCAAAUGGCAUCAUCUUACUGAACCAAAUCUUUGAUUAAACAGUUCAAAGGUGAUAAACAAUCUUGUGUUAAGCAAAGUCAGACUUCUGUGCUCCCUCCAGCAAUAGGUGGGAAGGAACACAAAAGUCACCUUUGCCUCUUUUUAGGAGUUUUGUUGAUUUGGUUCCGUGUUUGGAAACUUUCUAAAACAGGCAUCAACCAUCAACCUUGCACCUCAGAGCAGCUUCCCAGCGUUUAAAGCACCAGCUGACCAACCCAGCAAGAGCCAAAGCCUUGUGCACGCCCCACACCAUCUUUAGGGGGUCACUCGUGACUGAAUCCUACCCUCAUAUCUCUCCUCCUUCUAUCCAACUCCCUCCCAUCCCAAAUGCAGUAUCUCAACCCUUCCAGGCUGAAAAGAGUGCCUUCCACAGUAACACUAACCUUAUCUGAUAAAUUAUUGGCUUUUUCCAUGAAGAAUGGAAUAAAGACUAUCCUUCCUCCCUCCUUCCUGCCUUUUCUCCUAGCCCUCAAACCAGGGCUCCCACUUUCCAGCCAAUAUAAAUAACUAUCCCUAGAACUCUAAUUCCACGUUAGGAAUUUGAGUCGGUAUGGGCAAGCAAUAGGGCAGCCGGCGGGGGAGGCGCUUGGGAAUGGACCUGGUGCUGUGGCCCCAUGGAGAGCACUCACUGUGUGGGCAGCUGCCCAGCCUUCCACCUUAGUACCUCUGGAUUCUGCUUUAGCACAGGCUGUGGAUGAUCUGUUCCUCUCUCUUGUUCUCCCAACCCACUCAGGUAUAGGCAUCCACAAUGAGCUGCAAAACUGCAAACACAUAAUAAAGUCUCCAAAACUGGCCAUGCAACCCCUACUCACUCCCUGGGUUUGAGUCAUCAAGGUGAAAAAGAGAAGUUUGGCCUUAAAGUCCCUCAGGGUUUUUCUACUUUCACAAUCAAGAUCCAAGAUUCAGCUCAAAUCCUGAAGCCACCCCAGGCAGAAUAAAGGGCCUGGAGAUUGUGCUAAAUUAGCACUUCAGGCAUUUUUUAUUGUCAUGUGGACUCCAAGGAGAGGUUAUUAAUAUCCAUCAGUAUCGUACAGAAAAAUGGAUGGGAACACUUUAUGAUCUCUCACAGAAAAUACUCAAGACGACAGAAACUGAAGUGGUAACACAUCUAAAGCACAAGUAGCAAUUCCCUUUUAUCUUUGGAAGUGAAUUCAUUCAAUGGAAUACACACUGAUUACUCUGUAAGAAAAAGUUCUAGCCAGCCUGGGAAUCUAACACAGAGUAUUACAGCCACGCCUUUGAUUUCUAUUCCCCUCCCCCACAUUUGGAGAUUUUAAAACAAAUGAAAGAAGGCAUUAUUUCAGCUUAAGGCAUAAGUGUAAGUCACAUAAGAACAAAGAAGGUUUUAUUAUCACAUUAAACAUCAAGGAGGAAAUGUGCUUACUGAUAACUAAUUUAGUGUCUUACACUAUUAUGUUAGCGUUUGCUUUUUGCAAGCUUCUAGGCCAACUGAUUUACAACAUAGUGUACAUAAUUAUUACAAAUUGUAAAUAACUGUAAAUAAUUGUAUCUAAGACUGGAGGUAAAAAUGGUCAGCUAGUGAAAAGGUCAUUAAGGGAAGGAAGAAAAAAAAAAGCCCUUGGGAAAAAAAUAGAACAAAGUACACAGAGAGAAAGGUACUCUUUGCGCCUCAGUGGUCUAUAGAGCAUUUGCCCUCCCUGCCUAUAAAGUGAUUUAAUAUUAACCAUAUUUCACUCUGGCAGAAGAGUUCGACCUCUUGAUAAAAACUCCUUUUUGAAAGCGUCCCCCGCUUCGCCCCCACCAAAAAAAUAAUAAUAAUCCGUAUACGCAGGAGAAUGUGAAACAGACUGCCACAGGCCAGUGUCCUGGGCUUUUUGCCUAAGAAGUUUGCUCUCAGCGAGGAGAGAGGAAAAUCCACACGCUAACAACAGAUUGUACAGUGAACAGCCCCCCGCUUGCUGGCACACUUUCCCAACUAGCAGUUCCAACAGCUGUGCCCUGAGCCCAUUCAAGAAUUCCAUCUCACAGGAAGUGUUUCAAAUAUAGUCAUUUGAUCUUUCAGCAUUUGCAAAUGCACCUGCUAAGCCAAAAGUCUGACAGCCAUAUCCCCGGCGCCCUCUUAUCCAUCUUCACCAGUGGUCACGCGGGCUAUUUCAGACUUGGACUAGCCGAGGCACAAAGUACACAGAGCCCCUGCAAACACUUCUGCUGUUGCAGGAGGGCAGGUCUGACGAGCCGGAGUCCUUCCUUUCUCCCCACACCAACUUCCCAGUCACUCUUUUCCCGGAGCAGGUCAAAAGCUGAGAAUGCCAGGGUGACCAGAAGCCAAGAAGCGAGCGCUGAUUUGAGCUGCUGCAAAAAUCUUCCCAGGGCCCCUUCUUGCGUGACACACCUCCUCUGACUCAGAGGUGGCGCUCGCUCGCCCGUCACGUUUAAAACAAGCUUAUCCUUUCUGCUCAAUCAUCCGGCAGCUGCUAGAAGCACGGGACUGAGGCGCGGGCACCCGCAGGCAGAGCGGCGUGGCUGGCGGACUCUCGGGAGCCCGCGCUGCGCGGCUGCAGCUGAGAAGCCCAAAGCCGCACGUCACCCGGCGGAGGUCCGCUUUCCAGGAACGAGGGUCAGCUGCAGCGCGAGCCCCGACGUUGCCCGAGCCUAGUGCCAGGGCGGCCCAGCUACUGAGCAUGCUCGGCCUCCCGGCCGCUCCGACAAGGGCCUUUCGCCCCGACUUCCUUUCCUGAUUUGAGAAACGGAGGAUGGACAAGUGGGUACAGGGUUAGACUUAGGGGAGGCAAAGUCUUGGACAUGGAGAUGACCUCCUCCGCACCCCUUCUCCCCCCACAGAAAAACAAAGCAUGAAGAAAGGACACCUUCCCGUGCACUUAGCAAAUAUUUUGAUUGAUAGGCAGAUAGAGAAGUUUGUAAGCCAUUAGUAGUAUUUAGUCUUUAACUCCCUCCCUGCACAAGUAAAUUGCUUCUGGGGUCAAGUACGUAGGGUAGGCAGGGAAAGGGUUUUAAGCCUAGCAGAGCAUUGUCCCUCAAGAAUUAGGUAUGAAACUGCCUGUGUUUGAAAGCCCAGGCAGUGAGCCACGAAUUAGUUGAUCUCUUACAAGCAAAAUCUCCCUAUAGACAAUGACUUUAAGUAAAAACAAGUAUUUUACAAAGUAAUUGUGCAAGUUUUGAAAUUUAAAUGUUAACUUACACAUUUUGAAAUUUAAAUCUUUCAGAUGUCAGACUCAGUGAAAGCAAAGAAUGGUCCUUAACUCACGACUCUAAAUCCAAAUCCUUUCUCGGGUUGAUAAAUGGCAAGUGCUCUGUAAAUGCUUGUGUGAGAAUCAACUAUGGACUUAGCAGAUAAUCUGUAAAUAGCACUUACAGAAAGGCUGAAGUUCUUGAAUUUGAUAGGGACCUAAAUUCUGAUUUUUGAUCUUCUCAGCUUUCAUUUUGGGCUGGCCAAGUAUUUGAAAAUAGGGAUACACUAAUUUUUUGUCACAUAAGUAUCCAGUGCAUAAGCAAAUUGGCUUUUAAAUAUGAUUUUCAUUUUUGUGUUGUUUUGUGUAUGUGGGUGUCUCUUCUACGUUACUCUUUGGCAAAUUGAGCCCCAUGCAGAGCAUAUUCUCUCUGAUACUAUCAAAACCAAGGACAUUGACUCUUCAUGGUUUGCAGAUAACAAAAUUAUUUCAUUUUGAAAACCUUCUAGCUAGUCAUUUUUGCUAAGUCUGUGAGGGGUGAAUCCAAGGGACUUUCACGACUGAAAUAGAGCCAUAGCCUGAAAGCUGGGCCUGUGAGCGUCUAUACAGAAAACAUGGGCGAGUUGGGAGCCAGGUGUUUCUUGAAUCCUUACCAGGUGGUGCCUGAGCCCACUGAUCCAGUCCUCUAGGCCAGGAAAUUGCUUUCUUUCCUUCUCUCCCCUGCCCCCCUUCCUUCCAUUCUCUGACAACCUUCUGUGCUCCCUUUAAGACUCAGGGGCUAGCAGUGUGCCUCUGGAAUCCAGAGCCCUUCCCGGCUCCCCUACUCUGUGCUUCUCCAGUGCAUGCUUUUAUCACCCCACUUUCUGGAUCCUCUUUAGCUAAAUUAUGCCCACCUACCAUCAGCUCUGAACUCCUUAAGAUAGAGACAAUACCAGCUGUUUGCAUCUAUAUAAUUGUAUACAUCUGCACAAUUACUGGUUUUCAUGUGUUUUCAGAUUAGAUUAAGAAACAGUAGGGAGUCCUUCUAAUUGUGGUGACCAAUUAGAAAAUUGUUGGAGUUAAUUUAGGAACAUUAUUAGAGGAAGUGAUUCCAGAAGGACAAGUAAUUUUUUCAAUAUAACCAAAUCAAAUAUUUCAUAACUUGAAAGGAAGAUGCAGACCUAUUUGUGCAGACCCAAUAAGUGCAGAUAACUAGGGUGGAGCUGUUUGGUGGUGUUUAAGCCCUGCUUCUCUAUCCCAAAUAGAAAUAGAAGCAGAAGCGGAGGCAAAUCUGCCCUUGCCAAGGGACCUUUGGAGCUACUCAUUUAUUUCACAACAGAGAUUCCUUACACCUUACAUCUCCCUCAUUAAUCUCUUAGAAUUUUUUGGCUGUUCGUUAUAUUGCAAUGAAUCUGGUUCUCAAAGGUUACUCAGGGUGUUCUAAUCAUCAAAGCCAAGAAAUUCUCAGUUUUGAUGACAAAAUCAUAGCUAAUAUUUCCCUGGCACCUUAUUCUCUGCAAGGCACAGCUACAUUCUUUACAAACAUCACAUUAUUUGUCAUACGAAUCAACUUUUAAUAGUAUUUAUCACAAUUUUACAUUUUGAAUUUGCAAUAUAUCAUAAUAUGUUUGCUCAUGUCAAAAGAAAGCAGGCACACAAACAAUAAUGGGUAAUGGAAUAAGGACAGAGAGUAUUAUCAUCUCUGCUGAUGAAACCAAGGCUUUGAGAGUCCAAGAUAAUAUAGCAAAUAGGCGGGACCAUGUGUGAAUUCCAUGCUGUUAAGUGCCAAAGAUCAUCAGGUCUUAACCAGUCUAUAUUACGGCCUUGCUCCCCAGGAGUACCUUGCCCAAUGAAAUAUGGCUAGUUGAAGCUGAAGGUGGGGGUCAAUUACAAGUCAACUUGAUGCCAAAGCCUAGGCUUUAUCUGCUUCACUGUCUCACUCCCCCUCUAUGAAACUCUUCCCUGUUUUCAACUCCCUGACAGUACACCUUUCUGAUUCUAUUCCUUCUUCUUUUUUUUAAAUUAAGGUUUACAUCUUGUCCAUUCAUCAAAUUGUCACUACUUUGACUAUGGCUUCUUGUGAUCGCUACAUUAGCUAUCCAACUUGUCUCACUGUUUUAACAGUUUACUUUCCAAUCCUUGUUUCAUACUGCCCCUAAAGUCUCUUACUAAAAUUCUUUUGCCAUUACAGUGAACAUGGUUGGCAGAGUUUGUCCCAACUUCCUCCCAAAGAUCCCCAGUUGUGAUCAUUUAUCCAUUCAACCCCCAAGGAGUCCAUUUGCCUAAGGAGAAGUUGACUGGUCUGACUGGUCUAAUGGUAAUGCCACACUAUUGGUAUUCAUUAGUUAAGGAAUGGGUGUGUGACCCAAUUUUAACUCAUGAAGACACCAAGCCAGUUUGCAACAGGCUUUAGGGAAAUUCUUCUUUUCUUGUAAGGAGACUUACGGAAAUACACUUAUGCUUUCUUUUUAAACAAGUAAGCAUGUAGCCCCGAAUGCUACCAGGGACCAUCUUUCCACCUUGAAAAGACUAGCCUUGUAAAGAAGCCAGCGUUUUACAAAGUGAAGAGCUGAGAUGGGAAAUCUGCACCCUUGGUGAAUAUCACUGAAUUGAUCUACCUACCCAAAUGCCUACCUUACCUCACCUCUUGGAAAAUGAGCCAAUAUAAUCUGUUUAAGAUUACUUUAAAUUGGUUUUUCCUUGCCAGUGAAAAGUCUCUUGUCUGAAAUAAGCUUUUUCUACUUUCCUAUUCAAAAUGCUAACAUGAUUAAGAAUGAACUAAAUUUCUUAGCAUAGCUUUUGAGAGCUUUUCCUGGCCCCUUUGUAUUUGUACCUUCGUCUCCCGUUAUAUUGUGCUAUGCGUUUACAUCCUGGCCAUGCUGGGCUACUUGUUCUAAAAAUACAAGUUACUUUCCCAUAGCCCAGACUGCUUUUGCCCCACAUUUUUCUCUGCCAAAACCCAACUCUUGCUUCAAGGUCCAGACUAAAGGAUACUUUCUCUGAAAUGGACUUUCAGAAUUAAUAUUUCUAUCUUCUAUAUUUUCAUAUGUGUUGCUUGUAUGUCUGUGGGUAAAUCUGAGUCCUCCAGGAGAAAAACUAAGAUGGGAUUAAACUUGCAACACCUUGAACAAAAUGUGGAGGGAGCUGGGGGAGGCUGGGGAGCCAUCAGACUAUGAUGAAGCCGACCCGAGUGAGGCAGAGGGAAAGGAAGGAAGCUGGAUGCAAUGCAGUUCUAAAGAAAGCUGAGAGAGGCCAUCGGUGGCUCCUCAAGCCAAAGUCUUCCAUCCGAGGAGUCCAGCUUCUCCCAAAAACGGUCUGGCUUAGUACUGCUGCCAGUCUCAGUGGGCUAGCUGGGAGCAGCCCAUAAGAAGUGUGGCUUCAGCGUAAAGCCCACGGUGACCGAGUUCAGCAGCUGGGCACUGGAGUCAGUUACAUUCCCUGCAGCUGGAGGGUUGGGAGGUGCUUUCUCAGGGAUGCCGUGCUCCUUACUUAUCACUUAUUUGGUCUUAUCCUAAAUUCUACCCGCCAUAUACACACAUCUCUUCCUUAUUGAAUUAUGAACCCCUGAAGGGCAGGAAUUGGAUUCACCCUUGCGUCCUACUAUAUGGUUCAUAUAGUAGGAUCCAAGUAGAGUGUUACUGUGUUAUGGAGCCAAAUACUAGAAUAUGUGACCUUAAAUUUCUGUAUUAUUAACUCUUUACAAAAGGAAUAGGGAUAAUGCCCCCCUAAAGUCCGUGAGAACUUGCUUCCAGAAGAUGUAAAAUACUAUUCCAUGAUUAAUGUUUUUAAAAAAGAAUUAAUAGUCUCACUCACCUGGGUACUAAAUUCCUGCAGGUCUGUGUGUCUCCACACAGAAGUUCUAUUCAUGAACAGUGAAGUUGGGCAUUGGCUAAUUAAUACCCUAUUUUUCACAAACUGAAUCCCCAAGUUCAGUGAUUAUCGAACUUCUGGGUUAAAUUCAUAAUGCACUUUGGUUCUUGACUGCGAAAAUAAUUUUUCUGCUAUAAUAUGUUCUGGACUACUUUGUAAGCAUUCAUUUUUAGGUUUUGUGACAGUGGACCUUUCAGGUACAUUUUUUAGAUAAAAAGAAGUUAAUAAUGAUUCCCUAAGAGGGAGAAAAGAGAUUACAAAAAUCUGUGGUUAUUCAAGAUAUAGUAUUAUGACGCUUAGAGGAUAAAUCUGUAAAAUGAGGAUUUUGGCAUAUCAUUAUAGUGCAUAUGAAUAGUGUUCUAUGUAUCACUGUUAAUUUAGGGUCUAUUUACACUUAAGGUAUAGUGAUAGUGCUUACAAGUCAGGGUUCAGUAAGAAGACAGCAAUCCCACAGUUAUUUGGAAAGAGAGAGCUUAAUAUAAAAAUUUUCUAUUUUCAGACCAAACUACUAAAAAGGAAUGAAGAGAACUCUAAUGAAUACCCCAAGGCUGAGAGGUAUCUAUGGAAGAGGGCCUCUCCAGGGCUGGGACUCAGCCCUUUUGGGGCUGGUUGCCGCCCACUGAAUGGUGAAGAAGGGUACCGGCUGCUGAGAACACAGGUGGUCCACCAUCAGCAAGCUGAGGCUAGUGGGCGUAAAAGUGGGGGCAAGCUGGAAGCCUGCUGCAGCAGUGCCAGUGGGCAGAGGCUAGUUGGCAGGAUAUUGUGUGGAGGUACCGAUGAGAUUUGCUGCGAGGCUGCCUGCAGGGGCUGCUUUGGUUGGGAAGCUAGACAAAUACUGGCUGGACUCACCAGAGAACUGCCAGGAAGUCACCUGUAAGAGUCCAUGAAUCCAUCCAUAAGGGAGUGGCACUGCACUUACUGAAGUGAAACUAGCUGGAGUGACUGCAGGACUCAUGCACCAGCUCCUGCCUGGAGAUGGGGAGAUGUCACGCAAUUGAGCAGGAUUCACCCGCAAAUAGCCUGAGAGGUCCUGGGCACUGACUGCCAGAAAGCCUGUUGGGCAUUUUUGCAACUCACCGCAAAGACUUCCAAAGGGGUGCUGUUGAAACUCACUGGAGGUGAGCUCCACUGAUGUCCUGCAUGCCAGCCGGGCACUGCAGGAACGAGAGUGCUGGACUGCACCCGGGAACCAGGAUGAGACAUCCCUACCUCCAGCAGUGUCCCUCCUGCGCCCUCUACUGACAAAGUUUAACAUAGCGCCAACUGGUAAGAAGUGUUUCAGAAUAACAAGCAGGCAAUGAAGGAUGGAUUUGUAGCUGAGAAGUCAUAGAUUCAUAACUGACUGGUACAGUGCUUUUAUUAAAAUCACUACUUUAUAUUGAAACUAUCUCUUUACUCAUUUGUCUCUUCUACCAGCAGCUGAUAUGUGUGUGUUUGAAAGACAUGAGGGAGACUCUGCUCCAUAAAGUCUUUGAGGACUCAGAUUCCUUCUUUCUUGUUGCUUGAACAUUCUUCAGGAUGUUUUCUUACCCACACAGUAGAAGCCAGCUCCCUGGCAAAAUUCAGCUGGUGCUGCUAUAGCAUUGGCUUAGGAAUCAGGGGAAGCACCAACAGCUUCUUUUAUCAGUGCAUUUAGUGGGGCACCUUUUUGUAAAUCAUCUGUGCAAUUUUUAUUCAAUUGAAUGGCAGAGGAAGGGCAUCUUUAUUUUCCCAGAGCAGUCACCUUUUGCAAUUUGAGGUAAGACUCUCUAUGCCCAUAUUGUCUUGAGCAGCACUUCCUGGUUCCAGCCCACUUAAAAGGGGAAAGAGAGAAGUAGAGGAGAAGUAAUUAUCUUACAAUUAAAUGAUGUUAUUGUUCUACUUCUAUUCAUUCCAUUGGCUGGAACAGAAUCACAUGUCCACAACUUUCUACAAGGUAACAUGGGAAAUGUAACCUCUAAUUGGAUGUUUUUGUUUUGUUUUGUUUUGUUUUGUUUAUUAAAAGGGAAGGAAGAAGAGAUACUGAAUGUUACCAGUCUCUACAACGUAAAGAUUAUUCUGAGAUCAUUAAAAUUUUUGCUUAGUUUUAAAUACAUCUUAUUUUAGAAACAUGUUGAAUAUUUAAAUUCUAUAAUAUUGGCUGAUCAGUAUUAACUAUAAAA